rnacentral:rRNA from 2 species
UUUUACGGAGAGUUUGAUCCUGGCUCAGGACGAACGCUGGCGGCGUGCUUAACACAUGCAAGUCGAGCGGUAAGGCCUUUCGGGGUACACGAGCGGCGAACGGGUGAGUAACACGUGGGUGAUC